CGGGGAGACUUAACACUCGCUAUGCACCGAGGAGAAGCCUGAAGAGCAGGUAUCAGAGGAGGAGAGACGAGCAGGUUACAUCCGGAGAGGCCGUGUCCUGUGCCCGGGGAUGAGGGGGCAGCAGGUGCAUGGCCUCCAGAGAGACAAAGUGCCUGGCAUUGGCCUGGGCCGCCCGGGCUGUUCAGGAGCUUUGGGUGUGGGGGCCGUGUCGCCAACUCUGGAGACAGAGGGAGGCCGGGGACUGCGGCCGUGGCCGGCGGCGGUGAGCAAAUGAAAGGCUUUGCUUCGAGGGUGGGAUACCGCCCAGGGGUGGGUCUGAAUGCAGCCUCAGAGCAGGGGGGACGCCUCCUCCAGGGAGACACAGAGGCAGCCUGGAUUGCACCUCUGCAAGACCAGCUGGUGGGCGUGGGGGCUCCAGGAUUGGGCUCAGUCCUGCUGGGGUAUCAGAGUCCUCCUGGCCCCCAGGCUUCUGUGGCUCAUUAAGGCGGGAUCAUCCUAAACACGACCCCUUUUGUUAUCUCUUCUGCCUCAGCGAUGCUGGCCCCGCCGUGGUCAGCCCCACCUGCCUGGCGCACCCACAGAAUCUCACCUGGCGUGGCUCCCUCCUCCCCACGCCACAGCAUUUCAUGUUGGCUGGGAAGCCGUCCGGUCAGGCUGCUAACGUGUGGAGCUGUGGGAUGAGUGUGUAUUUACCAUCCAACUCCCCGAGGGACAGGAGCAGCAUCAGGCACUCCCGGGCCUCUCACAACCCGAAUUCCUGCUCUCUGCAGCCAGACAGCAGGCCACCCUUCCAGCAGCUCCAGCCGGAAGCCCCUGGCGCCCAGGACACCUCCUCUCCCCAUUCUCGUCACUCUUCCACACCGUUUCUCCCAACGCCCCCCUGGGGAGUGCUCAACCCCCCAAAUCCCGGAUGCUCCCGUGGGUCCCAGGUGUUCCCGUGGAUCCCAGAUGCUCCUGUGGGUCCCAGGUGCUCCCGUGGGUCCCAGGUGCUCCCGUGGAAUGCAGCCAGUCCUGUUGGUAGCCUCAGAAGCUGGACACCUCGCAUCUCCACAGUUGGCGCCCUGGCUGGCCAUCUCGCUCCUCACUGGUCUCCCUGCUCACCCCACCUCCCAGCCAGCAGGAUCCUGCCCAGAAUCAUCUUAACACCCUGCCGUGGAUCUGCUCCCUUUGGUAAAUGCCAGCAGCCAAGGAGGCCCAGUGCUCGGGCACCUUUUUCUUCUGACCCCGCCCCUUUGGCCAGGGCACACGCCUGCGCCCAGGUGUCGUUGGCUCCGUGCCCCUCCCAGCAGGCAGCCCCAGUGGUGACCCCCAGGAACACCCGUCCCGGCUGAGCCCGCACCGGUCCCCCUCUGCUCUCCUGCUCUGUCCGUGUUCGGGAAAUCUUCCUGUGCUCAGGUUGUGCCCAGCACUCUCUUCAUUCUCCUUGCGAGUGGCUCCGACCCACGACAUUCAGCUGUCCACCC
rnacentral:lncRNA from 1 species